AAACAUCCAAAAUUUAUAUAGUUAAAUUUUUGAAAAAUUUAAAUGUAAAUUAUUUACUUUUUAAUAGAUUUCUAAUAUGGUGAUUUAAAAAUUAUUAAAACAUCAAAAUUUUCAGUUUGUUAAAAAUUCAAAAUUGAAUUAGAAAAAUUAGGAAAAUAAUGACAAUUUAAAACAAAAGUUUUCCUUUAUUGUUUAAAUAACAAUUAUCUGUCACUUAAAAUUUAAUGACUCAACUUCUAGAUGAUGCUGAUAGAUCCAAAAAUCUUUAAUUUGCAUGAAUAUUAAUCUAUAGUAUUAUAUAUUUAGGUGGAGUGUAAAAGAGCUGAACCACGUGAUUUGUCAAGAGGAGCUGGUAAAGGUGGUCAAGCAAACCAAGUUGCGAAUCAGUGGGGAGGUCCUGGAAUGGGAAUGGGUGGAGGACCUGGAUGGGGUCCUGGGCCAAUGGGUGGUCCACCUGGACCUGGAGGUCCUGCAGGAGGACCUGGAAUGGGUCCCGGUCCAGGGGGUCCGGGCCCAAUGGGUCCUAUGGCAAAUGGCAUGAUGUCUGGUGGAUAUCAAGGUGGCUGGGGUGGGCCUCAACAACAAGGCCCUUAUGGUCCUCAAGGUAUGACUUGUUAAUUUUUGUAAAAUAUAUAUUUUUUACUUACCAAUUAUAUAAACUUUACUUAUAUAAUUCCAUUAUUUCCACAUUAUAAUAUAAAUUAAGAUAAUAAGCUCACUCCAAUUUGCAUAAAAUUUAUGUUUCUAGUAAGCAUUACAUAAGUUGUAUUUUAUAUAAAUUUACAUAAUUAUUAUUAUAAAAUUAAAAACAUUUUAUAUCCUGUUUACAAUAUAACAUAUAUGUCAUAACUAUUGUAAUAGAUUGCACAGGUAAAUUUAUGUCAUAUGAUUGUUAUAAAGACAUACUGUAACUUUCUUAUGGUAAUAACAUUGAUACUAAGGUAAUCAUUGAAUCAGAUAUGAUACCAGCUGUGACUAUCAGAGGGGGGCAGGAGGAGGGGCUGCCCCAAGCCAC
rnacentral:lncRNA from 1 species